rnacentral:rRNA from 1 species
UACGGGGGGGGUAAGCGUUGUUCGGAAUUACUGGGCGUAAAGGGCUCGUAGGCGGCCAACUAAGUCAGACGUGAAAUCCCCAGGCUCAACCUGGGAACUGCAUCCGAUACUGGAUGGCUUGAAUUCGGGAGAGGGAUGCAGAAUUCCAGGUGUAGCGGUGAAAUGCGUAGAUAUCUGGAGGAAUACCGGUGGCGAAGGCGGCAUCCUGGACCGACAUUGACGCUGAUGAGCGAAAGCUAGGGGAGCAAACGGG